rnacentral:rRNA from 1 species
UACGAAGGGGGCUAGCGUUGCUCGGAAUCACUGGGCGUAAAGGGUGCGUAGGCGGUCGGGUAAGUCUGAUGUGAAGUCUCACAGCUUAACUGUGAAACUGCAUUGGAUACUAUCCGGCUCGAGGAAUGGAGGGGAGACUGGAAUACUUGGUGUAGCAGUGAAAUGCGUAGAUAUCAAGUGGAACACCAGUGGCGAAGGCGAGUCUCUGGACAUUUCCUGACGCUGAGGCACGAAAGCCAGGGGAGCAAACGGG